AGCAGCCGCGGUAAUUCCAGCUCCAAUAGCGUAUAUUAAAGUUGUUGCGGUUAAAAAGCUCGUAGUUGAAUUUCGGGGUCAGCAGGUUGGUCGUGCCACUGGUAUGCACUGGCCUUGCUGAUUCCUCCCUCUUGAUGAGCCGUAAUGCCAUUAAUUUGGUGUUGCGGGGAAUCAGGACUGUUACUUUGAAAAAAUUAGAGUGUUUAAAGCAGGCAAGCGCUUGAAUACAUUAGCAUGGAAUAAUGAAAUAGGACGUUCGAUCCUAUUUUGUUGGUUUCUAGGAUUGACGUAAUGAUUAAUAGGGAUAGUUGGGGGCAUUAGUAUUCAAUUGUCAGAGGUGAAAUUCUUGGAUUUAUUGAAGACUAACUACUGCGAAAGCAUUUGCCAAGGAUGUUUUCAUUAAUCAAGAACGAAAGUUAGGGGAUCGAAGACGAUCAGAUACCGUCGUAGUCUUAACCAUAAACUAUGCCGACUAGGGAUCGGAUGAUGUUAAUUUUUUAAUGACUCAUUC
rnacentral:rRNA from 1 species